rnacentral:rRNA from 1 species
UGAACAGAUGCUAAUACCGCAUAACAACGUUGUUCGCAUGAACAACGCUUAAAAGAUGGCUUCUCGCUAUCACUUCUGGAUGGACCUGCGGUGCAUUAGCUUGUUGGUGGGGUAAUGGCCUACCAAGGCGAUGAUGCAUAGCCGAGUUGAGAGACUGAUCGGCCACAAUGGGACUGAGACACGGCCCAUACUCCUACGGGAGGCAGCAGUAGGGAAUCUUCCACAAUGGGCGCAAGCCUGAUGGAGCAACACCGCGUGAGUGAAGAAGGGUUUCGGCUCGUAAAGCUCUGUUGUUAAAGAAGACACGUAUGAGAGUAACUGUUCAUACGUUGACGGUAUUUAACCAGAAGUCACGGCUACUACGUGCAGCAGCCGCGGUAAUACGUAGGUGGCAAGCGUUAUCCGGAUUUAUUGGGCGUAAAGAGAGUGCAGGCGGUUUUCUAAGUCUGAUGUGAAAGCCUUCGGCUUAACCGGAGAAGUGCAUCGGAAACUGGAUAACUUGAGUGCAGAAGAGGGUAGUGGAACUCCAUGUGUAGCGGUGGAAUGCGUAGAUAUAUGGAAGAACACCAGUGGCGAAGGCGGCUACCUGGUCUGCAACUGACGCUGAGACUCGAAAGCAUGGGUAGCGAACAGGAUUAGAUACCCUGGUAGUCCAUGCCGUAAACGAUGAGUGCUAGGUGUUGGAGGGUUUCCGCCCUUCAGUGCCGGAGCUAACGCAUUAAGCACUCCGC